UAGCAGGUGCUGGUCAUGUUAUCUCUGGAU
rnacentral:piRNA from 1 species